rnacentral:lncRNA from 1 species
UGUCAUCCUUUUGUGCUGACAUGACACAUUUAUUACAUAAAAAUGACGCCCACGUCAAAGGUGCCACGUCAGUUAACAGAUAAAAAGGGUGACAAAAAUACACUAAAAUUGAGUUUGGUGUAAUAGGACCCCUGCGAAGUUGGAGUGUGUCGUAGAAAAUUUGGACAUAGUUCAGGGUUACUGGAUGGUUUACUCAAACAUAUGAACGUAUUACCAUGUCCAGUUUGCAACUUUAAGACUUUCAAGCUUUCUUCAAUGCCAUCGAUCUUGCGCGUAGAUUCAAAAAAAUUCCCCUAUACAAACACAAAACGCGAAAGGAUGUAUCAAUGAUAUUGUGAAAUCAUUGAGCUAAUUCGAUGAAGUUUGAACAUAUCGGGACCAGUAUAACAAGUUAAGUAACAAUGUAGCAUACCAGCAACAUGCCACAAUGCUGUGAAAGAUAACUCGAAACUGAAGUGGCACAUACUGGUGAUUAAUCCAACCAACAACGGGCCAGAACUGCGUAGUUAGGAAUGAUUGAUACAGCUAUGAUUCAGUAUAGAAUGUGAAUAACGAAGUUCGGUUUUGAAGAAAGAAGGGGAAGUUAACAAACCGUCCAAGACGUAUACUGCACUUUUGGAUAUUCCUUCUUGAUAUUAGACUUCACCUGGAUCCAAGGUCUACCUGCAGUACAUAACAGAGAAUCCAUCAGCCCAAAGCUUUGUUGUGUGUACAUAUGAUUGUACUUUUUGUUUCCUGUUUUCUUCAUUGUGAAUAUAAGUAACAGAUAGUUUUUGCAGUCUUGAUUUUUCGUAGGGCUAUGCACGUAGGAUGGAGUUUCGUGCGAGUGACUCAUAGCUAGUAGAUAGGAUUUCUUUGGUGUAGCCAUGAUAGUAGUCAUCGGGCUAUGCAUGUGGGUUGGAGUUUCAUGCAAAGAGUUGUAGCUAGUAGGUAGGAUUGCUUUGGUGUAGCCAUGCUAGUAGUCAUAGGGCUAUGCACACAGGUUGGAGUUUCGUGCGAGUGAGUCGUAGCUGGUAGGUAGGAUUGCUUUGGUGUAGCCAUGCUAGUAGUCAUAGGGCUAUGCGCGUAGGUUGGAGUUUCUUGUUCGGAAGGUUUGGGUGAGGUGUCUGUUUUCGGUUAAAUAGUGUAUAGUACUACUAUGUAGGUGUCUUAUUUCAGUUAUUUCAUCUUGUUUCAUGUUUUCUUACGGCUUUGUUUACUGUCUUUUUAUUCUGAGAAGGGGGUCUAUAGGAAACAACCUCUCUACUUCUUCGGAGGUAGUGUAUGGACUGCGUACACUUUACCCUCCUCAGACCCCACUAUGUGGAAACACACUGGGUAUAUGUUGUUGUUGUUGUUGUUGUUGUUGUGUUGAUUUUUCGUAACAUAUAAAAGAUGUAGUUUUUCAGUGCAUUUGACUUCUUAAGAAACAAAAAUCGAAUUGGGAUAAUACGUAAACAGACACUCAAACUUGAUCUCAUCUAGAAAGUAAGCACUCCGACUUUGAGAAAGCACACUUGCGACACCUCAACUUUCGUCUCCACUAUGUGGUUGAACACUCAAACUUACAAAAUGAAUCUAGACACCUCCGAAAGUUAUGUGCUACUUCAUCAUCGAGUAUCCAUGAGACCUAUGUUGCUUGGACUCUUCACUCUCAAUGCCGCACCCGUGCCGGAUCCUUCAAAACUGCACUACUUUUGAAGGAUCCGACACGCGCCAGUCAAUACUUUUGAAGAGUCUGAGCAACAUAGUAUGAGACAGAGUGGGGACGAGUUGGAGUGUUUAGCUGUCGGUUGAGACAAAGUCGAAACGUCUAAAUUUGCAUUCUCAAAGUUUGAUCUUUUACGUGCUGGCUGAGUCCAAGUUUGAGCCAGAAGCACCAUCUAGUCUGUGAAAUAGUCAAGUUGCAAAGAUGAAAUACAGUUGUAGCUUAGGAUAAAACUCACUUUCAAUAACUAACCCAUAGUAAAUCAUGAAAAGCAAGUUAUUCCAAGGCGAAGAUGUCACUUGUUCGAUAACCACCUGAAACAAUCAAAACGAACAACUAAUCUGGUCAUCGAUCUUUCAGAGUUAUCUCCAACUGGAAAUACUGUGUGACAAAAGGAUGCCAAUGGUAGAAUAUCAUGUGGGACUUUAUCAUAUUUUACACGUGUCAUACAUGUUCCUUCUAUUUCUCCAAGUAAAGUUCUUUGCAUUGCAAUGCCUAUUGUGUUGGUUUGGCCUUUCAUAAGUGGAGACAGAAUAAAGCAUCCAUAAUAAAGGCGUUUACUGUUACCAACGAAGAAGAAGGAUUUCCGUUACCUUUUUUGCAACAAUUGUUGUGUCUUUCUUCCCCUUGAAAAGUUUGUCGAGCAAUAAGUGAAGAAAAUGUCCGAAUGGUCCAAGAUAGGCAAAACCGAAAAGCUGCAUGUAGUUAUGUUAGCAGCCAGUGAUAAUCCCAGAUAGCAACUUAUACGCGUAAACAUAAUAGUACAUACAAAUGAUACAUGAUUCAUACAAUAGCUGCCGCCACAUCAGAAAAGAAUCUCGAGAUGGAAGUAAACCUGACAUAGCAUUGAAACUGGCCGGACUAAGCCUCGGAGGUUUCUGGCUAUUGUUUGUUCCGUUUCCUUUAUAUGUAAGUGUUUUCAAGCAUCAUCUUCAUAUCACUGUCAGUUUACCUUUACCUAAAGGGAAGUUCGGUACACUAAAGCUCCCGCUAUGCUCGGUUCUAGGAAAGGCGGAACAACAAGGGUUUAUUGUACGCAGCCUUACCUUGCAUUUCUGCAAAUCAGUUUACCUUUGCGUAUCUUUGUGAUCUCUUUUAUGCAGUGCACUACUAAGCUAUGUUUCUCAGACCCUACAAACUGUUGCCGCACCUGCGUCGGAUCCUCGAAAAAUGCAUAGGUUUUGGAGGACUCGACACGCACCUGAUGUUACUUUUGAAGAGUCCGAGCAACAUAGCUAAUAAAUAAUUACGUUCCAGAGUCUAGAUAUAAGAUCCCAACUUCUUUUAACGUUUUGACAAAUUUGGAUGUUCAUUUUAGGCAAGGGUAAGCAUAUAAAGUAGAGUCCAUAGACUUGACGCGGAUGGUGAUUCAAUCCGGGAAAAGAUUCUCAACAGGAAAAAGUAAAAACAACUGCAACAUCCUUUGCAGCUCAUACUCGAACCAUUUCAACGAAAAAAAUUAUUAGCAAAAGUCAUGAGACUCUUAUAUACGACCGGCAAGAAGGUUCAUCAGACAACAACAUUAAAGCGUGGUGAAGGAAGUUUUCCAACUUUUACAAUCCAAUUUCGCCAAGAUAUACCAGAAGGUUUCUGAAUCGUAAAAUAAUUUCAGAGGGUCUACAGAAAAUUUCAGUAAAUUAUGAGAUGAUCAUCGAUGACAGUCCUAUAAGGAUAGACUGAAUGGAUGUCUUUGUAGAGAAUCAUCUGGUGAUGGUUUUCGACAUUUUAGUACACUUCUUGUCGAUGAUGUUUUCCCCCACAAAUACGAACAAGAAAAUGCCUUACCAAAAUAAACCUGGAUGAGGGUACCGUUGGCUAGACUAAAGUUAAACAGAAUGCUAAGAAGGAAUUGUUCGCUUAGUCCGACUUUAUUUCACCAUGUCUUUCAGACUAUACAGUAUACGGGACUAGGACAGCGCGCUACAGUUUCAAGUUAUCUUAAUCAAAAUAAUCAGAAUACCAAAAAUUCGCAAACAAGAUCAGGGUAGCGUCAGAAAAGUAUUCUUCUGGUAGUCAUUUGCGUUGCUUCAAGUAAGACGAUACAGAAUAAGAGGAAAAUUAACUGUUGCAGGACCGUUUAGCUCCAGAAACUAUCCUUAUCAAUAAGAGAUGUUAUCUAAAGAUCAUGUUUUUUUGAAUCGUAUUGAUGAAAGCAGAUAUACCACGCUACGCUCAUGCUCAUAUGAGAACUAUGUUGCUCGAACUCUCCAAAAAUGUGAUUGCACCUGUGUCGGAUACUCCAAAAAUACACCACUUUUGGGUGAUACGACACGCGCUCAUCAGCAACUUUGAAGAGUCCGAGCAACAUAGCAUGAGAAGACUCUGGUGCAAUGAAGGAAAGGAAAAUAACAAACGUAUUCAAACAAUUACCACUUUAAGAAGAAGGCGUCUCAUCUGAAGUUUCUUAAUGCCAGUGAUCUUCUGAGCCACUAUAUCGCUGAUCGCUGACAAAACUGCAGCUGUUAUCGCCUGCAAUUAUAAAUCGUAAAAUUUAGAAACAACAACAACAUACCCAGUGUAAUCGCACAAGUGGCAUUUGGGGAGGGUGGGGUGUACGCAGACCUUACCUCUACCUUUACUGAGUAGAGAGGUUGUUUGCGAUAUACCCUCGGCUCAAGAAACAUCGUGUUUCAGAACAUGUUAAACUAUUUUUUUCAACAAGGGUGGUGUUCAUCCAACUCACACGCACGUCAACUAAUCGACUGCAUACUUGCUACCUCCAAUGGGUGCUGUUCAUCCAACUCACACGCACCUCAACUAAUCGACUGCAUACUUGCUACCUCCAAUGGGUGCUGUUCAUCCAACUCACACGCACCUCAACUAAUCGACUGCAUACUUGCUACCUCCUAAGGGUGAUGUUCAUCCAACUCACAUGCACCCCAACUAAUCGACUGCAUACUUACUACCUCCUAAGGGUGGUGUUCAUCCAACUCAGACGCACCUCAACUAAUCGACUGCAUACUUGCUACCUCCUACUAACACAAACACUCUUAUAUGUCAACAUUUAGAUCGAUAGAAAAAAAUCGCCUAAUCUUUAGCCUCUAUGGUUUACCAUGAACAACUUCCAACUUCAUUAACCACUAGCUCACACCCUUUAAAUUGUCCUGAUGCCAUUAUAGUUAAAUACCCCCUCCGUUUCAAAAAGAAUAACCUACUUUCCUUUUUAGUCUAUUUCAAAAAGAAUGACCCUUUCCUUUUUUGGCAUUACUUUUAAUUCAACUUUCCGCAUGGCAUGUUUAAGACCACAAGAUUAAAGCGCAUUUUGGUACAUUUGACAUAACUUUAAUUUAGGACCAUAAGAUUCAAAAGUUUCUUUAUUUUCUUAAACUCUAUGCCAAGUCAAACUAGGUCAUUCUUUUUUAAACGGAGGGAGUAUUAUUUUUAAGCUAAUCGUUGAUUUGCAACCCUUAUCUAUCCUGAGUCGGGAGUAUAUCGGAAACAACCUCUCUACUUCAUCUGAGGUAGUGGUAUGGACUGCGUACACUUUACCCUCCCCAGACCCCACUUUGUGGGAAUACACUGUAUAUGUUGUUGUUGUUGACGUUGAUUUCCAACCCAAAUAUUCUUGGCAUAACACGUAAACAAACAUUCAAACUUGGCCUCAGUUGGCAAGUAAGCACUCCAACUCAUUCCCACUGUAUCUUAUGGACAUCCAAUGCCGACGCCACACAUAAAUUUUGGAGGGCUCUAGAUAAUCAUUUUGUGACUUGAAGCAUUCAACUGAUAUAGCGAAGACAAGUUGAGGCAUCUAGAUGUGCAUACUCAAAGUCGGGGUAUUUACUUGUGACUUGCCAUAACACAUAAACAGACAUUCAAACUUGGCCUCAGUUGGCAAGUAAGAACUCCAACUCAUUCCCACUGUAUCUUAUGGACAUCCAAUGUCGACGCCACACAUAAAUUUUGGAGGGCUCUAGAUAAUCAUUUUGAGACUUGAUGCAUUCAACUGAUACAGCGAAGACAAGUUGAGGCAUCUAGAUGUGCAAACUCAAAGUCGAGGAAUUUACUUGUGACUUGCCAUAACACAUAAACAGACAUUCAAACUUGGCCUCAGUUGACAAGUAAGCACUCCAACUCAUUCCCACUGUAUCGUAUGGACAUCCAAUGUCGACGUCACACAUAAAUUUUGGAGGGCUUUAGAUAAUCAUUUUGUGAGUUGAAGUGUUCAACUGACACAGUGAAGACGAAUUGAGGUAUCUAGAUGUGCAUACUCAAAGUCAGAGUGUUUACUUGUCAACUUAAGUUAAGUUUGAUUGUUUGUCUAUUAUUUCAAUGUUCUUUCUUUAACCAAAUGUAAAAUUGACUAUGCGUUGCAUAUGUCAUAGAAAAAAGUAGGGAUAAGCAUCUAGCACCCCCGAACUAUGGUCAAAGUUGCUACGACACACUCCAAUUCCACAGGGAUCCUAUUACUCCCGAACUCAAUUUUAGCGUAUUUUUAUCUAAGUUGCGAACUCUUCACUUUCGAUGUCGCACCCGUGUCGGAUUCUCCAAAAAUACUCUAGUUUUGACGAAUCCGGCACGCACCCAUUGACAUUAUUGAAGAGUCCGUGCAACAUAGAUUUUUAUAACCCUUUUGUGCUGACGUGACACCUUAAUUACAUAAAACGUGGCUCAUGUCAAAGGUGUCACGUCAGCUAAAAAGGUUGACAAAACGUGUCACGUCAGCUAAAAAGGUUGACAAAAAUAUGCUAAAAUUUAGUUCACGAGAGUAACAGACCCCGUGAAGUUGGAACUUGGAAUGUGUCGUAGUAAAUUUGGUCAUAGUUCAGAGGUACCAGAUGUUUUACUCAAUAAAGUACAAAUAAACAGGAAAUAUCCAUAUCAUAAAUUGCAACUUCUUGACAUAUAAAAAAAAAUACCUACAUAAUAAAUUAAACUAACAGCUCAAAAUAAUCAAAACCAACUUCACAAAUCAGAUAAAACGAAUCAUAUAAAUAAAAAUUAGUCAAAAAAAAAUCAAGAAAGUGAAAAAAUAAAAAAAAAAGAAAGGGAAAAUGCUCUGUUCUAUACACGAAAUUACUGAGAUACACCCGAACUUUAAGAGGAUCCUAUUACCUGGACUAAUUAAAAUUGUAUUUUUGGCAACCUUAGUGCCUACGUGGCACAUCAGUAAAUCAACACACUAAAGGUCCACGUAGGCACACGUAUGUGCCACAUAUGUAUUACGUAGGCACUAAUAUUGCCAAAAAUACGAUUUUAAUUAGUCCAUGAGGUAUUAGUACCUCCUAAAGUUUGCCUCAGCAAUUUCGUGUAUAGUUUAGGGUAGAAAUAAUGCAUUUUCUCUAUAAAAGAAAAAACCUACAUAAUAAAUUGAACUAACAGCUCAAAAUAAUCAAACCCCACUUCACAAAUCAGAUAAAAUGAAACAUAUAAAUAAAAAUUAGUCAAAAAAAAAUAAAUCAAGAAAGUGAAAAAUAAAAAAAGAAAAAGUGAGACCUUUGUUCUUAAAGGGUGUUUCUGAAGUUGUACUAAGUAUUUUUGCAAUCCCUUUUUGGCAAGUGAAUCCAUUUUUCUUCUUUCCUUUUUUUGCUGUUCUUCUUCAGUUUAUCAACUGUAAGAAAGAAGAAGAAAAAUACGAUUUAGUUUUUUCUAGUUUGGUUUUUCAGUUAAAUAUCUAGAUUACUUCAGCAUGUGGGACCCAUUUGGACCACUUGUUGAAACUUUCAACUUUGAUUAGCUCAAAAGAAGAAUAUUCUCUUCUUUUAAAACGUUGUAUUAAAUCUCCUCCUAUAUUAAUAUUUCAAAAUAAAAAAUAUAUUUAAAGUAUCUUAAUUUUAUGAGUUUUUAUUUGAUUGAGGUACAAUGGUCUAUCAUAUUCAAACUGAUCUAUUAUAUACAAACUUAUCUUUCAUUUUUACAAGAAGUUGUUUUCACAUCUUGAACCAUAAUUUCUCGAUCAGAUGACAAUAACUUUAUUAUUUAUGUCAAGGCUCUCGUUCACUUAUUAAUAAAAGUAAAGUAAAUACAAAAUAGUAAAUUAUAUCUUAGGCUUUUCAAGUCGGACUUCAUAGUACAUAUCUAAAGUAUCUCAAUUUUAUGAGUUUUCAUCUGAUUGAAACACAAAGGUCUAUUAUAUACGACCUGGUCUAUUGCAUGCAACCUUAUCCUUCGUAGCCGUUUGGUCAUGAAAACUAAAAUUUUUCGGAGUUGGAGUUAAAGUUGAAGUUGAAAUUGGAGUUGGAGUUGUGUUUGGCCAUGUUUUUUUUGAAUUUUUUUCUUUUACUUUUGAAAAAACUUUUUAAAAUAUGAUUUUAUGACCCAACUUUUAAAAACUAUCAAAAUCAUCCAACUAAAAUUUACCUACUGACAUACAAGUGAUUCUUAUAUAGAGAGACACUUCCAUUUCUCGAACCAAGUUUGCAUUAACGAAGAAAAUAACACUCGAGAACAAAUGUAAAAAUGAUUGUCAAAAAUGUCAUGAAAGAUUUUACUGUGUGUGAAUAAAUUAUUUUUAUGUAAAACAUACUUUGCAUAUUUAUGGUAUAUUAUAUCAUAUACCAACAACAACAACAACAAACCCAGUGUAUUCCCACUUUGUGGGGUCUGGGGGGGGUAAGAUGUACGCAGUCCAUACCUCUACCUCUGAUGAAGUAGAAAGGCUGUUUCCGAAAGACCCCCGGCUCAAGUUACGAGAUAUCAAACAAACACAUAGUACAGCACAGAAGCAGAUGACAUAACAUAGAUACUGCAGCCAUAAGGAAUAUAAAAUAGAGUAAAGCAGGGAUGCAGGAAUAUAAAGCAGAGGAAAGCACACAGAUUCGUAACAAACAUAGAACACGGAACACGGAAUCGCGACCCGAACGGGCCCUAAGCCUCUGCCGUAAUUCGCGUCUUCCAGACCUUCCUAUCUAGGGUCAUGUCCUCGGUCAUAUACCAUAAAUAUAUAAAUAUGCUUAGUAUGUUUCUUUAUACUUUGUAUAUUUAUAUAUGUGUAUAUAUGGUAUAUACAUGGUAUAAACUUAAACUCGGAACCAAAAUAAGUCACAAAAUAAAAAAAGUGAUCAAAAUAGGACACCUAUUUAAAAAGCUACCAAAAUAGGCUAAAUGUAAUAAAUUAUUACGUUUUUCACUUUUUCCUUAACGGUCAUCACGGUUUGUAAAACGUAAUAAAUUAUUACAAACUACAAACAAUAUUUGUAAGUUGUAAUACACCUAACCACAUCACAUCACAUUUACUUUUCCAACUUUUAAAUUUAACCCACCCCACUUUUAAAUGUAACCCACCCCACCCCUUGUAGAACCCUCUCACCCCACCCCUAACCCAUCCAACAGCCCCUACCCCUGCCCCUGCCCUGCCCUGCCCUUUUUUUUGUUUUCUUAUUUUUUUGUUUUUGUAUUAAGACUCUGUUCUCUUCCUUUUCAAGUUUAAGUUGUUAGUUAAAAAUUAAGGUAGCUAAUGUCCAUUUUUGGAUCCAUACUAAGCUCCACUACUAAACUUCAUUUAAAGAAUUUCCAUCGGUCCCCCACUCCCCUUUACUUAGUUCUUUUAUUUUUUUAUAUGGUAAAAAUAUGAAAUUAAUUUUUUCGAUUAAUGUUUCAUAUUAAUUUCUGAUUAGUGUGUUGAUUAGGAUUUUGAGGAGACUUACAUGGACAAAUACGUUUUUUAUUAUAAUUAAUAAAGUAAGAAAUCGCAAUUUAAGUUACGGGUGUAUAAAAAUCGAACUGAUAAAAAUAUUAUUGAUUUAUCUUUAUUGGGUUAACUAUUUUUUAAUGAUUUUAUAAAAAAAAUUAUUGGGUUAUUGAUUCAAUUUUGAUUUUUUUCAUUGGGUUAUUGGGUAAAUCGAUAACCGAUUAAGAUUAUACGAAAUUAUUAUUUACACCCUCCAUAUAUAUAUAUAUAUAUAAGUAGGAUUGGAUGUUGGUUUCAAUUAAGAUUCAACCAACAUUCAAUCCUACUUAUAGGUUUAUAUAUACUAGUAUAAUGACCCGUAUAUAUAUAUAUAUAUAUAUAAGUAGGAUUGGAUGUUGGUUGCAAUUAAGAUUCAGUUUCUUUUGAUGUUAGUUACUUAUCGGUUUCUUAUCGGUUAAAUCGAAAAUGAAAUCCUUAUUGGCUAAAAUCGAUAACUAAUAUAACUAUAAAUAUUAGAAGUUAUCAUCUUCUUAUAUAAAAGCCAACAAUAACCAAAAAAUAUUAGAAGUAUAACUACAGAUAUAAUGCUUUAAUCAGCAAGAAAAUAUAAUUAUAUCCGUCAAAAUACACCAUCUUAUCAAACUAAUGCACCAUUACGCAUACGCCAACAUCAAUUUUCAAUUCAAUGACACAAAACGUAAAUGAACAUCAUCACAUUACACAUCAAACUAAUGCACAAAAUUAGCUUUAACAUCCUUUUGUCUUUCAACUCUUUUUGUUGUUUGUUGGUCUUCUUCAACAAACCUAAGAUCACAAUAUUGGCUUGACGUGGAAAUUUCGGAUCAUACCAAUCAAAAAAGUUGCAACUAGUUCGAAAUAGAGACUGCAAUUCAUAGAAAAGAAAGUUAUAAAAUUUAUUUGUUACAAAACAUUAAAAAGAAGAGAUAGAAUAUAAAAAUUACAUACACCAUAAUGCAUACAACCGAGGAACAUACGUCCGAGAUUGUCAUUCGACCAUGAAAUUCUCACAAUUGGAGGAGACCUACAUGCACAAAUAAGUUUCCUAUUAUAAUUCAUGAAGUUAGAAUUAAGUAGACAAAGUAGAAGAAAUGGAAUGAGUUCUUUUUUUUAUUAUUGGAAGUGAUAGGGGAAGAGGGAUAAUGAAGUGAUGGAGGAAAAGGGAUAAUAAAUAGGAAGAGGGAUAAUUGAAACUUGUUACCAUUGAAAAUGCUGAUUUUAAAAAAUAAGUUUAGUAACUCAAAAAUUCUGAGUUACUAAUCAUUAACCCAAUAAUUUUUUUAUAAAAUCAUUAAAAACUCGAUUUAUAGUUACUUAUUAUCGAUUUACCCAAUAACCCAAUAAAAAAAUCAAAAUCGAAUCAAUAACCCAAUAAUUUUUUUAUAAAAUCAUUAAAAAAUCGUUAACCCAAUAAAGAUAAAUCAAUAACAUUUUAUCAGUUCGAUUUUUAUACACCCGUAACUUAAUUUGUGAUUUCUUACUUUAUUAAUUAUAAUAAAAAACAUAUUUGUCCAUGUAAGUCUCCUCAAAAUCCUAAUCAAAACACUAAUCAGAAACUACUAUGAAACAUUAAUCGAAAAAAUUAAUUUCAUAUUUUUAUCACACAAAAAAAUAAAAGAACUAAGUAAAGGAAAGUGGAGGACCGAUGAAAAUUUUUCAAAUGAAGUUUAGUAGUGGAGCUUAGUAUGGAUCCAAAAAUGGAUACUAGCUACCUUAAUUUUUUACUAACAACUUAAAUUUGAAAAGGAAGAGAACAAAGUCUUAAUACAAAAAUAAAAAAAAUAAAAAACCAAAAAAAGUGCAGGGCAGGAGUAGGGGGCAGGGGUGGUUGCGUGGGUUAGGGGUGAGGUGAGAGGGUUCUACAAGGGGUGGGGUGGGUUACAUUUAAAAGUGAGGUGGGGUGGGUUAAAUUUAAAACUGGGAAAAGUAAAGGUGAUGUGAUGUGGUUAGGUGUAAGUUGGAAUAAUUUAUUACAACUAACAAACACUGUUUGUUGUUUGUAAUAAAUUAUUACAUUUUACAAACAGUAUUUGUAAAACGUAAUAAAUUAUUACAAACUACAUGAUUUAACAUAAAGAAGAUGUGAUAGCACACUGUUUUUUAUUUUUUGUGCAAAACGUAAUAAAUUAUUACUUUUUACAAAUCGUGUUGACCGUUGGUUGAUCAAAAGUGAAAAACGUAAUAAUUUAUUACAUUUAGCCUAUAUUGGUAAAUUUUUAAAUAGGUGGCCUAUUAUGGUCAUUUUUUUUAUUUUGUGCCUUAUUUUGGUUCUGAGUUCUAUAAACUUCAUAUAUAACAUACUUUGUAUAUUUAUGUUAAUAAAUAUGCUUAAUAUGUUUCUUAAUAUUUUAUAUAUUUAUAUAUGUAUGUAUAUGGUAUAUACAUGGUAUAAACUUUAUAUAUAACAUACUUUGUAUUUUUCGGUUAUAAAUAUAAUACUUUAUAUAUUUAUGGGUAUAAAUAUAUUACUUUGUGUAUAAAGAUACCAAGUAUUAUGGUAUAUAAAGAUAGCAGUUGCAGUUUAAGGUAUAAAUUUGUUAAAUUGGACAUAAUUUUUUAUGAAAAAUAUAUAUCACCGAUUUAUCUUUUUAGCAUAUAUAUGGUAUAAACUAUUUAUAUUUGAAUAGUAUAAUAAAGAUGUACACAAUAUAAUAUAUAUAAUCAAAUUAAAAAUGAGAAUAAUUUGUGGCAGUGGUAAACUAAUCUGCUACAACUUUAUUAAUUUCAUAAAUAUAGAAAAUGAUUAUCCAUUAUUAAUUACACGACAGUAAUUAGGAUCAUUAGCAGUAAAAUAAUGUCUUAAAUAAGAAAGAAAAAUAAUGAUGAGAGAGAAAAAGAGAUAUAUAUUAAUUAGGAUAGCAUUAAGUUUGAAAUUAUAAUUACCUUAUUCUUUAAAACUGCUAUAUACGUAAUAUUGAAAAGGUAAUAUUAUUCAUGAAUUUAAUAAGUGUUAAGGAGUGUUUUAUGUAAAAAUUUAAAAGAUUGGGGUUAUAUGUAAUAAUAAUAAAAGUUGAAAUUGGAGUUGGAAAUUGUGAAAACACCAAAAACUUGUUUUCCCUUUUCAGAAAAAAUUUUCGAAAUUAUUUUUUGAAUUUUCAUGGCCAAACACCGCAAUUUCCAACUCCGAAAAAAAAUCCAGAAAAAAGAAAAAAAAAUUCAUAGCCAAAUGGGAUUUUUGGAUGAAGUUGUUUCCACAACUCGAACUAUAACCUCUUGAUUACAUGACAACAACUUUAUCGACUAAGUCAAGGCUUCUGUUCAAUUAUAUUAAUAAUAAAGGUAAAAGAGGUAUAAAAUGGUAAUAUCUUUUGAUUUUCCAAACUGACCAAAAAAGAAUAAACAUAUAAUUUAUAUAGUACUUAAAUAAGUAAAAAUAGAUGAAAACAAUAUGAUUUAGUUCACAUCAUAAAUUUUUAUUUAAUUUUAAACUUUAUGCCGAGUCAAAUAUAUUAAAUUUUGACUUGUAGAUGGUGACCAUUUGGACCAUGUCAUGUUUAAUUAAAUUUUGAUUAGCGGAGAAACCCAUAAUUCAUAAAAAGAAUAUUCCGUUUUGCUAAGGGAUUUAUUUAGUGAUUUGCCCAUUAUGAUUUGUAAUGGAAUUUUGGUUUAACAAGUUAUAAAUAUUUUAAAUUUUGUGAUUGAGUUGAAUUAUUCAAUUUGGCUUAGGGUUUAGUAAGUAAAGUAUUAGUUUAUUACAAGUAAUUUCGUGUUUGGAUAGAAGUGUUGAAAUUAAUAAUAAGUAGGUUGCGUGUUUGACAAAAAUAUAUUGAUAAUCUAUUUUAUGUUUAAAUGAUUGAAGUUCCUUAAGAUAUAUAAUUAAGAUCAGAGCCCAUGCAGAGGCGGACUCAGGAAUUGAAUAUAUCGAAAGCUGCAUCACUAUACAUCUUUAGCGUAAAUAUUUUUUUUUUUUAUUAUCCGAUAUUCAGUAUCCAUAAAGACGAUUGAUUCAAAUUCACGUAUUGUAGAGCUGAAUAAAAGAAAAAUGCUACAUACUAACAAAUUUUUUAACUAUCAAAACUCGAACUCGAAAUCUAAUAAAAUUAAGAAAUUUCUAAUAGUGAUUUCAACAAUUAUGAUGAGCAAUGCAUAGAAAUGUUUCUUUAAUUUAUGUUUGACAUGAAAAUUAUAAUAGACAUACACUUAGGGUCAUUUGUAGAGUGUAUUAAAAAAAAUGCAUUAAUUUUAUGUAUUAUUAGUACCUUGUUUGGUAUAUCUUUAGCUCAUGUAUAACUAAUGCAAUACGAUCUAUUGUGUAUUCAGGUGUGUAUUACUAAAACCUCAAAAUUCAUGGCAUUAAUAAUGAUAUGGAUCCAAUACAUGCAUUAACAUGAUAAAAGACAAUUCUCUCAAAAAAAAAAUCUGCAUCCUUUCCAACAUAUAUAUGGAGGGUAUUUUUAUAAUUUUUUUUCAAGAAAUUAUGUAAUUCAUGUUAUUUUUAAUACAUCAAACCAAACAAUGCAUAAAAAAAAAUACAAGCAUAGCUAACACAGACAUUACUAAUAUAAACAUUAUUAAUUCACCAUAUUUUACAUUAUUCUUAUACACUCUUUAUCAAACGACCCCUUAGAGUCAUUCGAUUCAUGCAUAUUACAUUACUAAAAAAGAACAACCCGAUGCACUAAAUCUCAUUCUAUGCUUUUUUUGUAUAGAAAUGAACACUAGUGACGCCCAAGUGCUCCAUCAUUUACUUCAACUUUGCCACUACCAAUUAACACAGUUUCACCAUCAACUUUGCCAUUUCUAAAAUUAGAACCAAAACUUGAACUAAAUGGUCUAGGGGGUAUAUAAAAUGAUUUGAUUUUUUCAUCAACUAAUUUUGCUUCAUUUGCAAUGUUCCUAGCAUUUGUUGAUACAACAAGUGCACUAGCAAUAAUGAGGAGGAAAAUAAUUUUUGUUGGCAUUUUUAGGAGUUGAUAAUUAAGACAAUUUUUUAUUUUUUUUUUGGAGUAUGAGAAUUUUGGUUUGGGAUUUGAAAUUAUAUAUAGGUGUUGAGAAUUUUAAUUAUGUUGAAAGUUAGGGAGAUGUUAAGUUGAUGAUUAUGCAUUGCAUGUUUAUUAACUAUAAUUUAUUUCUGUAUGAAAGUUCAAGAAAGUCAAUUUCAAUGAUACUCUUAAACUUCAUGAUCAACCUAAUUCUAUCUUACAACAAAAUCAAUUACCAGUAAUUUGAUUUUGAUGUUCAAUUCUUCUUCUUCCAAUUUGGGUUUGGUUGGGGGAGGGGUGGGGUGGGGGUAUUAUUAGUAAAGACAAAGAUAAAUAGAAAAAGACCAAAAUAUCCUUGAAUUAUCGAAAAUGGAGCACUUUGUCCUCCGUUGUCUUUUGUAGAAUCAAAAGUACCCUUGCCGUAUAAAAAUUGGACCACACUUGCCCCUCCUCAUUAACAAAUUAAAUUUCAACUCAACUUAGAUCAAGUUAAGACCCGCGGGGCCAUUUUGGUGGUCAAACAGGCGAAACGGCGUGAACAUGCCGUGAAACGACAUGAAUAGGCCGUUUUUGGCCCGUUUCGGGGGGUGUUAACCCACAGUUCGGUGAGUGGGCUCAAGGUCUGAUGGAUCUGGGCAAAAAUCACAAGCGACCCUCAGACAGGCUGUGGAGCGGAUGUGGGUAGUUUGGCGAAACCGCUGGGGCUAUUUUAGUGGUCAAACGGCACGAACGGACAGUUUUUAGCCCGUUUCGGUGAGUGGGUCUGGGCGAAAAUCGACAGGCAAACCUCCGACUGGCUGUGGAGCGAAUGUGGGUAGUUUGGCGGGAUAGCUAGGGCCAUUUUAGUGGUCAAACGGGCGAAACCGCUCGAACGGACAAUUUUUAACCCAUUCGGCGGGUAGGCCCAGGGCUAGAUCUGGGUAAAAAUCGACAGGUGGCUCCUCGACGGGCUGACCAGAUAUGGGUGGUCCGACGGGACCGUGGGGCCAUUUUGCUGGUCAAACGGGCGAAAUGGCGCUAUCAAGUCAAAAAUUAUUGUUUUGUCAGAAAAGUGAUUAGUAAGCGCUAUUUGAUCGCUCUUUGUUGUACCUUUUAAGAAAAUUGAAAGCUUACACCGCGAUUUUAAAAGCGUGUCUAGAUAGAUUCACUUUUACAUGAUCCUAUUGUUUAUUCUUCUUGUAUCUCAUACAAGUUCAUCAAACGACAUCCUCUUUGUAAGAAUCCAUGACCUUUACCGCGAGGCGGGGUUGCCAAAGACAGGGCUAGUGACUGAAGUGAAGUCAUAACGAGGUAGCCGUAGCCAACAAAUAUCCAAGACUUUGCACAAUCAAGAAGCAACCAAAACAAACCCCUUUAUAAAAAGGGUAGCCUAGUGUACUAAGCUCCCACUAUGCAGGGGAUUCAGAAAAGAGUCAAACCAUAGGGGUUUAUUGUACGCAGUCUUAUCCUACAUUUUUGCAAGAAGCCGUUUCAAAACACAAGCUCCUUUAUGUUGAUUCAAAGACUAGAAUUCCUAGAAAUCAAGUCAAGACCAAAGAUGGAUAUAAAAAGGAAAAAGAAGAGAGGAAUAAGAGGACAGUAUACUUUACUACCUAACUUCUAUACAACCACAAGUCCAUUUUUUCUUGAUAACCCGUAGUGUCCAAAUCAGCUUGCGUGCAACUUUUGGUAUUGCUGACUAGCCUCAAAAUAAGAUAUGUAAAAACAGUGUCUUUCACCCGAGAGCAUUCACAAAAGCCAGCAUGGAAUCUACAUCCCUCUUCUCCGACGGGUACUUAAUGGGCUGUGAAGAAUGUUUAGGAAAGAAAAGUAUUGUAGGGAAGCUUGCAACCUGGAAUUGUUGCUGGGCAAAUGCUUUCUGCUCACCAUCUGUCCUUAUUUUUCGCUACUUUCACACCAUAACUCGCCAACUUCUCGGCCAAUUCAACGUAGGAUCCUUCCAUUGCCUAAACAGAAUCAGAAACAAGAUCAUCAAGAUAAUCCCUAAAUACCUGCCGGCUACGAAGUAGAGGCGAAUGCAGCCUAUAUGCAAUGGUUCAGACGAAUCCAGUAUUUUCGAAACAUGGCUACAUAUGUGAAAAGUCACUUAGUUUUCAAUAAAUAUUAAAUUCUAAAACCAUAAUGUCAAAAUUAGUACAAUUACGCUCAGUGGUGAGAACCUUAAACGUUGAACUAAUCAAAUUUGAAUCUUGGAUCAGUUUCAGUGGAGAAAGAAGUUGUUGAUGAGAAGAUAAAUUACCUGGCAAAAGCGACACCAAGGUGCAUAAAGAACAAGCAGCCAAGGCUCAUGUCGAUUUUCCAACCUCAAUAGGUUCUCAAUUCCAGGCCUACUCAAGCUUACAAUGUCCUGGAUGUCGAAAAUAUCAGAAACAGAAGCACUACCAUUAGAUGGACAGUGAUAUUUCCAUUUCCAAUCACGCUUUCAUCCUAGAUGUUGCCCUUAUGUAAGCCACACUCAGCCUUGAAAUCCUCCCACCACUACCUUCCUUUUCGCUCGUUUGGACAGGUUGGAUAGCCCGCGUGCAAGGGUCACAUCCAAUAGAAACGUAACCUUGUGAAUGCAAUGAGUUAUCCGGAUUCAACCUCCCAGUAUCAAGGAUGAAAACUCUAAAUGGACGACCAGUUAAACGAGCAUACUCUUAACAAAGCAACAUUUUCAGCACCACUGCAAAAUAAGGAUAUAAUUUAGGAGCUGCAUCAUAGCAAGAUAACAUAUCAGGAAAGUCAUUUGACAGCGAACUCUUGAAGGAAACCUACAUUUCUCUAUAAAAAAGUAGAACACAUAUAUCAGGAUACUCGAUCAUAAAUGACCAAAAAAAAUGUCAUGAUGGCCUCUAGAAUCAUGCAGAAUAGCUUCUCAUCAAGAUAUGUAAAAAGACUAUCUGCCUGUCAUUCACCUGAGGGCAUUGACAAAAGCCAGCAAGGAGUCUACGUCCCUCUUCUCCAACAAGUACUUAAUCGCCCGUGAAGAAUGCCUAGGACAGAAGAGUAUCGUAGGGAAGCUGCCAAGCUUUCUGCUCACCGUCUGCCCUGAAGUUUGCUGUUUUCACAGCAGCAUUUGCCAACUUCUCCACCAAUUCAAUGUAGGAUCCUUCCAUUGCCUCUACAAAAUCAGAAAAAAAAAAGAUCAUUAAGAUAAUUCCCAAAUACCAUCCGGCUAGAAAAUAAAGGCGAAUACAGCAGCCUAAAAUCAAUGGCUCAACUGAAUCCAGUAUUUCGAAACAUGACUACAUACGGGAAAAGUCACCAAGUUUUCAACAAAUGUUAAAUUCUAGAACCAUAAUGUAAUAUGUACACUAUGCUCAGUGCUUAGAGCCUUAAAGGUUGAACCAAUCAAAUUCAAAUCUAGGAUCAGCCUCGGUGGAGAAAGAAAAAGUUGUAGAUGAGAAGAUAAAUUACCUGGCAAAAGUGGCACCACGGCUCACUUCGAUUUCCAACUUCAAUAGAUUCUCGAUUCCAGGCCUACCCAAGCUUGCAAUGUCCUUGGUGUCAAAAUUAUCAGAAACAGCAGCGCCACCAUCUGCAUGGACAGCGCCAUUUCCAUUACCACUCGUGCUUUCAUCCUUGAUGUUUCCCUAAUGUAAGCCACACUCCUUGGCCUUGGCAUUCUCCCACCACCACCUUCCCUCUCGCUCGUGUUGGCCAGGUAGUACAACCCGCAUGCAAGGUUCACAUCCAAUAGUAACAUAGCCUUGUGAAUGCAAUGAGUUAACCGGAACAUUCAUUGCUCGAAGGAAAUUCCAAAUAUCCUUGCCAUCCACAUUAGCAACAGGAUUCAACUUCACCAAACUGCAGGCUCCACCAUCCAACCCCUCGAAUGAAGGGUCUAUCUGAACAAUGGGAAUUUCAGAUCAAGUACCAGCAGACUGAUCUUUACGUUGCCCGGUGAUCCAGGCACGUAAGACUUUGAGGGCUCUCUUCAAGGACCUAACUUUCCUUAUGCGGCAGCAUUCUUGGUGGUCAUCUUCAAUAAAGCCUGAACAUAAACAGCAUCAAGGAACAUAUAUUCAAUACAAAUUCCAUAGUGCUUCUCUAUGGUAGGUUUCUGGAUUCAACCUCCCAGUACCAAGGCUGAAUACUUGAAACGGACGACCAGUUAAAUGACCAUACUUUAACAAAGCAACAUCUUCAGCACCACAGCAAAAUAAGGAUAUCAUUUAGGAACUGCAUCAUAGCGAGAUAACAUAUCCGGAAAGUCAUUUGAUAGCGAACUCUUUAUUGAAACCUACAUUUCUCAUAAAAAAGUAGAACACAUAUAUCAAUCAUAAAUGACCAAAAAAUGAAAUGUCAGAUACCAGAUCACUUCUUGAAUUUAGAUCAAGCUUCCAUGGGGUUCUCUCACUCCUACUACUUAAUAAGUAUUCUAUUUUUUACACAUAUUUGGCCAAAGAGCAAUCCAUUGGAAGCUCAUACAUUAAUUUGGAUACAAAAUAGUACAAUCAUCCUCAGCACUAAAAAAAUAACAUGAUACAGCCAGAAUAGACAAGAGCUAAAGCGGAUGUAGCCUUUUGGUUAUGGGUUCAUCUGAACCUAUAACUUUUCACACGAAGUAUAGAUAUACAACAAUAUACCUCUAACAACAUAACAAUGGGACGGAUCUAGUAUCCUCAAUUUUAAACAACAAAACACUAAUUUUAAACCAGACCAAAAUUAACUUAAAGGCGCGUGGGCAGGUUCAUGCUCAAAGUGCUUAAUAUAAGUCAAGAAUAUGUGAAACAGUUUGAUUACACAAGCAAUGUUGAACAACAAAUAGAAACCAGAGAUUAACCAAAUCAAAACAUAAGUUCCACAAUAAUAUUGGAGAUACGACAAAUAAAAUCAUUAAACUAGAUAUGUGGGAACAUCAGGAACUUGGAACUCAAGAUGUAUGGGAAUCAUUAUCCCCUUGAUCGCAGUCUCGGGGAAGAUCCUCGUGAGCAUCGGCAUGACUUGGCGGAUGCAUCUCUUGAUCAUCUUGAUCGUCCUCACCCUCAUCAGGAAUAUCCACAUGUAUGUCUGCAGGAGAUAGCUGAGGAGUAGGCAACAUAUCUUUUUCGGCUUUUGCCUCCAUCUCACGGGCAGUGAGGAUGGCAGCAUCAAGGUUCGCAAUACCUGCUUUGACCUCUUCCAGAGUGGACCUCCGGACAUUCCACCUCAUAAAUUCAGUCUUACGAGUGAGGCGUUCCUCUCCCUUGUUUACGUCAGCAAGGGCUAUGUUUCUCUGCUCUUCGAGGUCCUUGUUGUAGCUCUUCAAGACGGAAAUUUCAUUUUCUGAAGACUGGAGAGCUCCUUUCUGUCUUUGAAGUAUACUCCUAGCCCUGGCAAGUUGACCACUAAUCUUAUCUAAAUCAGCCCUAGCUGAUAGCUCACUUCUUAGCCGCUGAAGCUCAUCUUCUAGGAAGGUUUCUCUUUCUGCACAAGCACGAAGAUCCUCCUCCAUGGUUUUCAUGUCUAAUUGCAUGAAGCAACAGUCCGAGCGAAGUUGGUCAGCUUCAUGUCGAUAUGCCUUUUUCUCUCGGUUGGCACAAUCCAAAUGCCGGUUAGCAUACUAUAAAACUAAUGGUGGCCCGUUCAAAACCUGUCUUUGCCUCUUGAAGAUCAGCCUUUAGCCUCGACGUAAGUUCAGCGGCUGCCACGUCCUGUGAUUUCCUGUUGGCAAGCUCAGCCUUCAGGGCAGCAAUCUCUAAUGCUUGAGAAUCCAAUUGAAUUUGCAGAUCUUUUCUUCCCCUAAGGCUAAGCAAACCUUCACCCAAGAGUGUGCUGGCCUGAGAGAAAACAAAGAAAAAUAGUCAGAUCAAGAUCCGAGAAAAACAGACCAACGUAAUUAAGGUGAGAAAGCAUUACCCGAUCCAAGGCUUGUAAGCCCUCCUCAAACAAACGUUCCUCCGGCGACCCAUCCGAUCCACUUUCACACCUUGGAGGGCAAGAGGAAGUAUCUGGAUUGGCAGAGAAACCUGGAGUACUCACCCUUUCCAAUGCAUUGCCCAGCUGAGGGAGCUCAAACUCUGUCAUGGCUUCGUUGGAGGGGACGAAUAAAGGCAAUACAAGCUGAUAAGAGCAUGGCUGUUUGGGCAAGACUUUGUGACCUCGCCACACGAGAGCAAUAACUUCAUUGUCAGUUUCCUCCACAUCCUCAAGGUCAAUCACAGCAUGCGUAGAAAGAUGAUUAGUUUCACAAGGAGGCGGGGAAACUUCGCCUUGAGUACGCACGCAGUACCCAUCGUUCACAAUGUGUGCAAGGGAACUAGCCUUCACAAGCCGCCUCCGCUUUUCUGAUGGGAGUUGUGAGGAUGAAGAAAAAUCAUCACGGUUAGUAGAAACCAACUUUCUAUUGUUCCUCUUAGCUUCGACAGUCCGACGACCAGACGCCGCCAGAUCAACAUCUAGAUCUGCCACCACCAACUUUUUUGAAGGGAAACCUAUUAAGAUGGGCAUCAAGUUCAGACUAAAAUGUAAACAUAAAAUAAGAAGACACUAAUUAAUUAUCCCAACCACAAAAUUAUAAUCUUAGAUUGCAGAGAAAAUAUAUCAAAAUUUCAACUUGAGUUCAUGAGUUUUCUUUCUUGUUCUUCAUUCUUUAAUAUUCUCAUUCUUCUCCUGCAAUUUCUUCUCUUUUGAAACCAACAGUAAGUUUGCAGAUAGAAUAGAGCAGUACAUACGUAACCAAAAUACUGGAGAAAUUGCUACUCGGUUGCAAUAGCAUGUGGGCUACAAGUUAGUAUAAGAUGAGGAUAAAGAUGCUCGAAUAUGUCUUCUACAAAAAUAAAAAAUCACGGGAGCGGAUAUACGAAGGAGCGUACCAUGAUUUUUCGCAAUCCAACGAUUUUCCGAUAUUUUCUUCCAUGACCUGUCCUCGUGGUGAGAAACUUCAAGAAUGCACUGGACCCAUUGACGAAGAUCCGCCACGGCAUCCGGCAUCCAUUUGGUGGCUGAUAAAGGAAAAAAGAUAGGAGAAGAGAUUGAGUUAAAGGAGAAAAUGGUAAUAUAACCCUAAAAAUGGUUCUCCUAUCUCACUUACAAUUCAUGUUCCACACCUCUGGGAAAGGAAGAUGAUUGUUCGGGAUAAUCUCAAAAGUUCUUACAGAUACAAAUCUCUCCAUCCAAUGACGAUCUUUCAGCUCAUCUACGCUUGACAGAAGACCUGACUUUCCUAACUUAACGAUAUAUACAACCCUCCCUCAAAAGGUUCGAGGAGAAUAGAAUGGUCCGGGAUAAUCUCCGAAGUCCUCACAAAUACGAACCUCUCCAUCCAACGACGAUCUUUUGACUCAUCUAUGCUCGACAAAAGACCUGAUUUUCCUCGUUUGAUGAGAUAUAUAACCCCACCUCGAAAAGUUCGAGGAGAAUAGAGACACAUCAAGUGGCUUAAAGUGAAAGUUGCAUUAGGACCAAAAGCUUUAACGGACAAGUAACGAAGGCACGUGACGGUCCUCCACACCGCCGGACCUAUUUGAGCAAGACAAAUGCUAUAGCAUACGCACAUAUCUAAGAUUACUGGGUCAAUCGCAGGCUCAAAACCUAAGGUGAACGGAUAAGUAUAUACAUUGGAAAACCUCGAUUUAAAGGAGGUUAUAGCAUCAGGAAUAAGGAGUUCGGUAACCCUAUCCCAGUGACAGUCCCUCCGAACGACUUCAAAAAUAGAAGAAUCUAUCAACGAAUGAUAAUUUUCAACUAGUUCGCCCCUAUCACUCACAGUAGAUUGUUGUCUUCGGUAAAGUCACAAGACCACUUGUAAUUCACUGGAAGAAUAGAAUCCAGUUCGGAGCUAUCAUCAGCGACAGAAAAAGUCUUAGCCAUCUAUGAGAAAAAAUUGUUGUUGAUAGAGCGAAGAAGAAGAAAUUGGUAGUUUGCUCGAUGAUAGAAAGUUACAUAAAAACAACUUAAAGAAGAUGAGGAAAUAGAUUUCACAGGGAAUUUGACUCAUCAUUGUGACGCUUAAACCGGCCCCUAAGACCAAUCGCACACUAACACGUGUUUUGGAAAAUCUUACAUAUGUCAAGAUGCAUUAAAUGGAGAAGAUCUUCCUUCUUAUGGGAGAUUCUCCCUCUAGCACAUUUUAGUUUGCCACUUUUCAUUUACACGGUGUAAGAAAACGUAAAUAAGAUGGUUAAUUUUACUAAUUUUCCAUUUAUUCAUAUUGUUUGAAUCCUAUAUAUGGAUAAGAAAUAUUCCCCAACAUAAUUCCCUAUAAAAAUGAUGAGACUUAACCUAGUUAAGCCAUAAAUAAAUAAACGCGGCAACAUACAAAGACAUCAAAUUUUAUCAAAUGCAUGUGUAGUAGUUCUUUUUAAACACUUCUUAUACUAGUAACCCUUGAAAUGGGUGGGAGUAAGAACGCAAGCAAUUAAUGAGCUCCUUGAAAAGAAACUUUUUGAAACUUAUAAAUUUGUUUCGGCUUCAAAAGAAUAUGUCAACCUUAUUUAAGUAAUUAAAUGUCAACCUUUAAUACUUAAUCAUGACAUGUGACUUCCAUCCAAGUCGGAAAUUGGGAAAAUGGAGAGAUCAAGUAAUGGAAAGGAUCCUUGUCCGAUCCAGUAUGGCCUUUCUAGGAUGAUUUCAACUGUGUUAGAAUAUGAGUAGGAAUAGGACACUACAUGACAAUCCCUUUCCAAGUAGGAUUCUAUAUGUUAUUCCUAUUCCUACACAUAUUCUAGCAUGUAAAGAAUGUAUCUUGGACCUAACUCAACCUCAAAAGUUAGCUCAUAAGGGAAGGAUUGCCCGAGUCCAUAUACGGAGACCAAUUACCCAUGCUUUUUCCGAUGUGGGAUACUUAACACUCUCCCGCACGCCCGGGCCUCGUUAACUGGAGCGUGGACAAUAUAAUAAGGGGGCCCAACAUCGGUGAAAAACGAUUUGGGAUGGGUCUGGCUCUGAUACCAAUUAUUAGUUUUUAGCUUUGAAAUUAGACAAAUAACAGAGAAAGACUUGGAGAGAAAAAAAAUACUACAAUUGUAUUGUCAAAGGGAAUUAUUUUAUUAAUAACUCAAAACAUAUAUUUAUAGCUAAAUUUCUAACUAAACUUCAGUUUAAAUUGGGAUAACUAAUUUCUAUUCAAAUAACAAAGGAAUAACUAAUUCCUAAGUCUAGGGAACAUAGAACUCUAAUAAUUUAAAACCACUAAAAUUAUCUACUCCUACUUUAUUUUUCAAAGGCAGAAACUCUUUAAAAAAAGUUUUGUCAUAUGUCAUGUGGUUUGUACAACCAGUUUAAAUUGGGAUAACUAAUUUCUAUUCAAAUAACAAAGGAAUAACUAAUUCCUAAGUCUAAGGAACAUAGAACUCUAAUAAUUUAAAACCACUAAAAUUAUCUACUCCUACUUUAUUUUUCAAAGGCAGAAACUCUUCAAAAAAAGUUUUGUCAUAUGUCAUGUGGUUUGUACAACCACUAUCAAUCAUCCAAAAAUCAGAUUUCUUGGUUGAAGAAUAUGUUGCCACAAAUAAGUGAUCUUUUUCUUCUUCUUUGGUGACUUGGGCAUCUGCUUCAUAUUUUUGAGUUUUGUUUUUGCAAAUCACAGCUUCAUGGCCAAGCUGAUUGCAGAUCUUGCAUUGUGCAUCUGGUUUCUUCCAAUAUUUAAAUAGAGGAUGACCUAUUUUGCCACUCUUGAAUUAUUACCCUUGAUUUGAGUCUUGGAGUUGGCUGCCAAAGCUCCUUCAAUCAUACCAUCCUACCUCAUAAACCUCCUUUGCUAUUGCGCCUGCAAUGUAUUUAACAAUUCUGCCAAAGUAAUCUUGGACAAGUCUUUCGUGUUUUCCAAGGUAAUAAUUGAUACUUCGUAUCUUUCGGGCACUAUAACAAGAAUUUUUUUCAACAAUUCUUGAAUCUUUAAAUUUUGUGCCAAGCAAUCUUACCUUGUUAACAAUGCUAAGAAGUCGGUCUGAGUACUCUUUGACGGUCUCAGAUUCCUUUAUCUUUAUCCCAAAUUUCUUUUGUUGAUUUAAAGGCCAUAAUUCUCGUGAAAAUUGUUGGAGACACACUAGCAAACAAAGUUGCUUUUGCCUAUGAUUUUCUGAUUUUCUUUUUCUUUUGGCUUUUGAUCUGAAUCACCGUGGGAUUAUCGGCCAGCGGAAGAACAUCAUAAUCCUCCUCCACAGCCUCCCAAAGAUCUAAAGCCUUCUUACUACCCAAAGAUGGUAAUUUUCUUUUUUGAUUUUCUUUUCCUUUUGACUUUUGAUCUGGGUCACUGUGGGAUUAUCCGGCAGCGGAAGAACAUCAUAAUACUCUUCCACGGCCUCCCAAAGAUCUAAAGCCUCAAGAUAAGUCUCCAUUCUUACUGCCCAAACAUGGUAAUUUUCACCAUCAAAAACAGGAGGAGCUAUUUGAGAAAAGUUUUCAGAAUUCAUCUUAGUGCCCCAACAUGGUAAUUUUCACCAUCAAAGACAAGAAGGAGCUAUUCUUACUGCUUCUUGGUAAUUUUCACCAUCAAAGAAAGGAGGAGCUAUUCUUACUGCUUCUUUUCCUUUUAACUUUUGAUCAGGGUCACCAUGGGAUUAUCCGGCAGCGGAAGAACAUCAUAAUCCUCCUCCACGGCCUCCUAAAGAUCUAAAGCCUCAAGAUAAGUCUCCAUUCUUACUGCCCAAACAUGAUAAUUUUCAUCAUCAAAGACAAUUUUUCAUCUCAUCAUCAAAGACAGGAGGAGCUAUUUGGGAGCCUCAAGAUAAGUCUCCAUUCUUACUGCCCAAGCAUGGUAAUUUUCACCAUCAAAGAUAGGAGGAGCUAUUUGAGAAAAGUUUUCAGAAUUCAUUUUAGUGCCCAAACAUGGUAAUUUUCACCAUCAAAGACGGGAGGAACUAUUCUUACUGCCCAAACAUGGUAAUUUUCACCAUCAAAGACGGGAGGAACUAUUCUUACUGCCCAAACAUGGUAAUUUUCACCAUCAAAGACAGACAUGGCAAUUUUCACCAUGGAGGAUUUCACCAUGGUAAUUUUCACGAUCAAAGACAGACAUGGUAAUUUUCACCAUCGAGGAUUUCACCAUCGAGGAUUUCACCAUCAAAGACAGGAGGAGCUAUUCUUACUGCCCGAACAUGGUAAUUUUCACCAUGGAGGAGCUAUUUAGGAAAAGUUGUUUUCAGAAUUCAUCUCACAGAUCCCUCAAGAACCUGGCUCUACUACCAUGUAAAGAAUGGAACUUGGGCCUAACUCAACCUCAAAAGCUAGCUCAUGAGGAGAGGAUUGCCCAAGUCCAUAUAAGGAGACCAAGUACCCAUCCCUUUUCCGAUGUGGGAUACUUAACAAACUGUAUCAGUGUUGUAUCGUCCAAUAUGGCCAGUGCAUUAGUUUAACACCUGUGGUCCCACAAAGUGAGGUACGGGGAGGGUAGAGUAUAGACAAACGUUACCCCCACCGAAGAGGUAGAAAGGUUGUUUUCGAUAGACCCUCGGCUCAAGGAAAAAUAGUCCAAAACAGUCCAUAAAAAGAAGUAACGAAAGUGAAAGCAUAACAAAACAAAAUACUACAAUAAUCAAAGUACAAGAAACAACAAAUAAUAAUGACUAAACAAAGUAUAGAUAUAUGCACAUAAAGCCCUACUAAAAUCUGAAAAAUAUUAAGUUCGAACCCAUAACUUUAACACUAGUUGAACUCAUUUAAGUUUAAAUCCUGGGUCCGUCUCGUCAUGCGCUGAAUCUUCUAAAUAUGGAAUAUUGAACUGAAAAAUUACCUGAAAGCAAUAGCAAUAUCACUCCCAAAUUUCUCAAGAGCCCUUAUCCAUGACCUCCAAAGGAGAAGCAUUUGUUAGCUCCUUUGCCAGUUUCUCAUAAUCCUCUGCCUCUUCUGCCUCUGCUUUCUCAUCAACUUCUACACCCCAAAUUUUAAAAAGAAAAAAAAGAAACAGAAAAAAAAGGUUAUUUACACAAAUAGCCAAACAUAUCACUCUCAAAACUUGCACCAAGCAAACAAUAUGAUCCAAUUAAAACAACACGUGGCAUUACAAGAAAUGAUCUCCUCACAAGUUGAAUAAAACCCUCUUAUGUAGCAUAUUACUUACUCAUGCACAACCUUUGAGCUUUUUGAGAAGAAAUUGUAAAAACAGGAAGUGACCCACAAAAGUAUAUGAAAAGCUGAAUAAUCAGGCCAAAAAAAAGAAAAAGAAAAACGAAAAACGUCAGGGAAUCGUAUGACUAUUUUCCAAAGAUAGGACCAAAAAGUGACUAAUAGGCAUUGUUUCUACUUGUCUUUCAUUGUUGUACCUUCUAAGCGAAUGGAAAGCUUAGACCAAGAAACUAAAAGCUUGUCCAGAUAAAUUCACUUUAACGUUAUGCCCAUUGUUUGUUGUGGUAUCCCAUACACGACAUCAAACGACAACAUCUUUAUAACUGUUCAUUACCUUAACCAAAAGGAGGGUGUCAUGACCUGUAUUAAUGGUUGCGUGAGAGACAUACAUUAGGGUCACGCGAGAGGCACAGACAGUCCACUUCAAUAUAAACACAGUGAACUAUUGUGAAGGAGGGAACGAAUUAGGGGACGACCCGGUUCAUACCUACUCCGUAGGUGUCGGGGAGGGGGGGACCACUCCGGGCCUGACCUACGCGCCCUCACCCCAGCUUCGCUGGAGGGGCGUUUCGAACCCCCGACUCUGGCACACCACGGUAAGCAAGCUUACCGCUGAGCCAAGGAGGGAACGAAUUAUUUUGGUAAAAUCCCAACGAUCUUUUCCUCUCAUUCUCUCAUUUCUCUCUCUUCUUCCUAACUACUUCUUUUUCCUCCUCUUGACUAAUUCUAUCCAUAAUCGCCAUUGAAGGUGACGAUUGGAGCUUCCAUGGAGACUUAUCUUUCGUAGUAUCCAAUUCAAUUGAUCAAUUGUAAUAGCUAGUUCGUAUUGAAUUUGGAUUAGCAAUAAAAAUUUCCCUUUCACGAUUUCAAUUUUUCUUUCAUUAUCAAAGUACAUAACAGAGGGGAUGUUGUUGAAGGAAGGCUAGUGACUGGAGUGAAGUCAUAAUGAGGUAGCCGUAGCCAACAAAUAUCCAGGGAAACGACUCAUGGGUUUCAUUGAUUGGCAAUUAUAUACACAUUGAGUGGGGAUAUUGCAAUUCGCAGUGUGUGUUAUCCACUUAAGAUAAAAUGAGCACAGUAUAAUUAUUUGUAUAUUCAUGAAGACUUGAUCAGGAAAAGAAAAAUUGCUCAACCAAGACUUUGCAUAAUCACGGAACAAUCAAAACAAGGCCCUUAACAAAAAAGAGCAUCCCAGUGUACUAAGUCCCGCUAUGCGUGGGGUCGGGGAAGGCCCGGACUACAAGGGUCUAUUGUAUGCAGUCUUACUCGGCAUUAUUGCAAGAGGUUGUUUCAAAAACAAGCCCCUUUAUAUUGAUACGAAAAACUGAGUACAUAGAAAUCAAGCUCUGACCUAAGAUGGAUGUAAAAAGAAAAGUUCAAAUGGAAAAAUAAGGGAGAGGACUAAGAGGACAGUAUACUUACUACCCAACUUCUAUACAACCACAAGUCCAUUUUUCUCGUUUAACUUGUAGCGUCCAGGGCAGCUUAAACACAACUUUAGUAUAGCAGAAUAGCUUCUCAUCAAGUAGCUAAGAAUUCUAUUUGACACAUAUUUAGCCAAAGAGCAAUCAAUUGGAAGCUCAUACAUUAGUUUGGAUACAAAAUAGUACAAUUAUCUUCAGCAUUAAGAAAAUCAAAAUGAUAAAGCCAGAAUAGACAAGAGCUGAAGCAGAUGAAGCCUUUUGGUUGUGUUCAUCUGAACCUGUAACUUUAGACACAAAGUAUAGAUAUACAACAAUAUACCUCUGACAACAUAACAAAGGAACGGAUCUAGUAUCCUCAAUUUUAAACAACGAAACUCUAAUUUUAAACCAGACCAAAAUUAACCUAAAUGCACAUGACCAGGUUCAUGCUCAAAGUGCUAAAUAUAAAUCAGAAUAUGUGAAACAGUUCAAUUAGGCAAGAAAUGUUGCAAAACAUAUAGAAGCCAGAGAUUAACUAAAUCAACCAGCCAUCAGGGCAGUAAUCUCUAACGCUUGAGAAUCCAAUUGAAUUUGCAGAUCUUUCUUCCCCUUAGGCUAAGUAAACCUUCACCCAAGAGUGUGCUGGCCUGAGAGAAAACAAAGGAAAAUAGUCAGAUCAAGAUUCGAGGAAAACAGACCAACGUAAUUAAGGUAAGAAAGCAUACCCGAUCCAAGGCUUGUAAGCCCUCCUCAAACAAAUGUUCCUACGGCGACCCAUCCAAUCCAAUUUCACACCUUGGAGGGCAAGAGGAAGUAUCUGGAUUGACAGAGAAACCUGAAAUACUAACCCUUUCCAAAGCAUUGCCAACCUGAGGGAGUUCUAACUCUAUCAGGGCUUCGGUGGAGGGGAAAAAUAAAGGAAACACAGGCUGAUUAGAGCAUGGCUGUUUGGGCAAGAUAGCUCACAUUCAUACUUAAUUUGAUUCAUGGGUCGUCUAUCCACCAAAGCCCGCAGCGAAAAUAUUUUUUAUUUUUUUAUUUUUUCUUAACAGUUUUUGCCCAAGAUAGUGUUUGCAUAAUCAUACAACAACAACAACAUACCCAGUGUAUUCCCACCUAGUGGGGUCUGGGGAGGGUAGAGCGUACUCAGAACAUACCACUACCUCAAGAGAAGUAGAGAGGUUGUUUCCGAUAGACCCCCGGCUUAGGACCAAUAACAGUAUAACAAAUACAAAAAGUAAGCGGAUACAAACUAGUAUGGUACACAAAACAAACUAACAGUAUAACAAACACAAAAGAUAAGUGCAUAAUAAACUAGUACGGGAUGCAAAAAAGCCAACACCACUAACCGCAAAAACUACAGCCCCAACACUACGAACCAGAAACUCCAGACCCAAAGGAGCACUCCCCUAUUAUUACCGCCGCGCUCCCACCCCCUAACCCUCUACCCUAAUCCGCGUCCUCCACACCUUCCUAUCAAGGGUCAUGUCUUCUGUAAGCUGUAAUUGCUCCAUAUCAUGCCUAAUCACCUCCCUCCAAUAUUUCUUGGGUCUACCUCUAGCCCGCCUAAAACCAUCCAUAGCCAGAGUCUCACACCUCCGCACUGGAGCAUCAGGGCCCCUCCUCAUCUUCAUACAUUAUACACUGAUUACAUAUACGUAAGUUUGUAGAUGCUCCAUGACUUGUCCUCGUGGCUUGAGACUUUAAGAAUACGCAGGACCCAUUGACGAAGAUCUGCUACGACAUCCGACGUCCAUUUGGUGGUUGAUAAAGGAAAAAGAUAGGAGAAGAGAAUGAAGUUAAAGGAGAAAAUUAUAAUAUAACCCUAAAAAUGGUUGUCCUUUCUCAUUUACGAUUCAUGUUCCAUGCCUCUGGGAAGCGAAGAUGAUUGUCCAGGAUAAUCCUAGAAUUUCUCACAUAUACGAAUCUCUCCAUCCAACGACGAUCUUUCAGCUCAUCUACGCUCGACAAAGACCUUAUUUUCCUCGCUUGACGAGAUAUACAACCCCAUCGCGAAAAGUUCGUAGAGAAUAGAGACGCACGCAUCAAGUAGCUUAAAGUGAAAGUUGCAGUAGGACCAAAAGCUUUUACAGACAAGAAAAGGAUGUAGGCGAUGCUCCUCCAUAUAGCCGGACCUAUCCAGACCUAUUUGAGCAAGGCAAACGUUAUAGCAUUUCCACAAAAUCUAAAAUUACUGGGUCAACCACCGACUUAAAACGUAAGGUGAAUGGAUAAGUAUAUACAUUGGAAAACCUAGAUUUGAAAGAGGUUAUAGCAUCGGGAAUAAAGAUUUCAAUAACCAAAUCCCACUGACAUUCCACCAGGAUGACUUCAAAAAUAGAAGAAUCAAUCAUCGAACGAUAGUUUUCAAUUAGUUCACCCUUAUUGCUCAUAGUAGAUGGUUGUCGUUUGGUAUAGUCACAAUCCCAAUUGCAACUCACUGGAAAAAUUGAAUCCAGUUCCGAGCCAACAUCAACGACGGAAAAACCAUAAGAACAACGGUAAGCAGAAGAGAUUAAAAAAGUCUUAGCCAUCUAUGAGAAUGUUACUAGACAAAUUUGUUGUUGAUAGAGUGAAGCAGUUUACUCCAUGACAGAAAGCCACAAUAAAACAAGAUAGAGAAGAAGAGGAAAGAAAUUUCAUCGGGAAUUUGACUCAUCAUUGCGGCGUUUCAAUAAUAUAUAAAUCGGCCCCAAAGACCACUAGCACGCUAAGACGUGUUUUGGAAAAGUCUUUGAUGCAUUUAAUGGAGAAGAUCUUCUUUCUUAUGGAAGAUACUCCCUCCAACACGUUAUGGAAGGAGUAGCUUCCAUACGAAGGAAGAUCUUCUCCAUUAAAUGUGUCCUGACAUAUGAAAGACAUUUUCAAAACACGUGUUAGCGUGUGAUUUGUCUUUGGGGCCAGUUUAUAUAUUAUUGAAGUGCCGCAAUGAUAAGUCAAAUUCCUAUGAGAUUUGUUUCCCCUUCUUCUUUAUCAUGUUUUCCUGUAACUUUCUAUCAUCGAGUAAACUACCGAUUUUUUCUUCUUUGCUCUAUCAACAACAAAUUUGUCUCUUAACAUUCUCAUAGAUGGCUAUGACUUCUUCGAUUUCUUCUGCCUACCGUCGCUUCAUGCUUUUUCUAUAGCUGAUGCUGGCUUCGAACUAGAUUCUAUUCUUCCAGUGAGUUACAAGUGGUCUUGUGACUGUACCGAACGACAAAAUCAACUGUAAGCGAUAGGGACGAACCAGUCGAAAAUUAUCAUUCGUUGAUAGAUUCUUCAAUUUUUGAAGUCGUCCGGGGGGACUGUCGCUGGGAUAGUGUUACCGAAAUCCUUAUUCCUGAUGCUAUAACCUCCUUCAAAUCGAGGUUUUCCAAUGUAUAUACUUAUCCAUUCACCUUAGGUUUUAAGCCUGCGAUUGACCCAGUAAUUUUAGAUCUGUACAAAUGCUAUAACAUUUGUCUUGCUUAAAUAGGCCCGGCGGUAUGAAGGACCGUCGCCUGCCUCCGUUACUUGUCCGUAAAAGCUGUUGGUCUUAAUGCAGCUUUCACUAAAAGCCACUUGAUGCGUCUCUAUUCUCCUCAGACUUUUCGAGGUGGGGUUGUAUAUCUCAUCAAGCGAGGAAAAUCAGGUCUACUGUUGAGCGUAGAUGAGUCGAAAGAUCGUUGUUGGAUGGAGAGAUUCGUAUCUGUGAGGACUUCUGCGAUUAUCCCGGACAAUCAUCUUCCCUUCCCAGAGGCGUGGAACAUGAAUCGUAAGUGAGAAAGGAGGACCAUUUUUAGGGUUAUAUUAUAAUUUUCUCUUUUAACUGAAAUCUCUCUUCUUAUACUUUUCCUCUAUCAGCCAGCAAAUGGAGGCCGAAUGUCGUGGCACAUCUUUGUCAAUGAGUUCAGCGCAUUCAUGAAGUCUCUUGCCAUGAGGACAGGUCAUGGAAAAAAAAUCGGAAAAUCGUUAAAAUGCGAAAAAUCAGUACGCUCCUUCAUAUAUCUGCUUACGAGAUUUUGAUGUUUGUAAAAGAAAUACUCGAGUAUCAUUCUCCUUAUCUUAUACAAACGUGUAACCCCCAUGUUAUUGCAACCAAAGUUGCAAUUUCUCCAAUACUUUGGUUACGUACGUACUGCUCCAUGCUAUCAUCCCCAAACUUAUGUAUAAUGUAUGAACAUGAUUUAUGCAAAAACUACCCUGGGUAAAAUUUGUUAAAAAAAAUAAAAGAAUUAGGAUUAUUUUUGUUACGGGCAUUGUUGGAUAGACGGCCCAUGACAAAUUAAGUAUGAAUACGAGUGAUCGUGCAAAAGAUACACUUAAUUAAGCAUUUAAAUAUAUCUACUUUAUUUAGAAGUAAAACCAAUUAAAGAUGAAAAAUGAAUUCAGUGUCUAGAGUUAUUAGUGGUUGGGAUAAUUGACAAGUGUGAACUUAUUUUAUGUUUACUUUUUAGUGUGAACUUGAAGCCUAUGUUAACAGGUCUCCCUUCUAAGAAGGUGGUGGUGGCAUAUUCGGAUGUUGAUCCAAGGACGUCUGGUGGCCGGAUUGCGUAGCUAAGAUGAACAAUAGAAAGUUGGUUUCUACUACCCGUGGUAAGUGUUCUUCAUCCUCACAAACCCCAUUUUUAGAAAAACAGAGGCGGCUUGUGAACGCUAGUUCCCUUGCACGCGCUGUUAGCGAUGGGUACUGCAUGCGUACUCAAGAUGAAGUUUCCCCGCCUCUUCAUAUCAAUGUUGCAUCCUCCAAUAGGACCAGUGCACUAGUUUAACACCUGUGGUCCCACGAAGUAAGGUCUGGGGAGGGUAGAGUAUACCCAAACCUUACCCCUACCACAGAGGCGGAGAGGUUGUUUCCAAUAGAACCUCAGCUCAAGGAAAUAUAGUCCAAAGCAGUCCAGAAAAAGAAGUAACGGAAGUGAACGCAUACCAAAACAAAAUAUUACAAUAAUCAAAGUACAAGCAAAAAUAAAUAAUAACGACUAAACGAAGUAUAGAUACAUGCAUAUAAAGUCCUAAUAAAAUCAGAAAAAAUAUUAAGUUUGAACCAAUUACUUUAACACUACAAUUAUUUCAAUGCUGAGAAUCUUAAAAGUCGAACUCAAGUUUAAAUCCUGGAUCCACCUCGUCAUGAGCAGAAUCUUCUAAAUACAGAAUAUUGAACUGAAAAAUUACCUGAACGCAAUAGCAAUAUCACUCUCAAAUUUCUCAAGAGCCUUAUCCAUAAUCUCCAAAGGAGAAGCAUUUGUUAGAUCCUUUGCCAGUUUCUAAUAAUCCUCUGCCUCUGCUUUUUCUUCAACUUCUACACCCUAAAUCAAAAAAAGAAAAAAAGAGAUCUUUACACAAAUAGACAACCAGAUUUAUUGUAUACUUUUUCUAGCGAGUUUAUUGUGGCAUUACAAGAAAUUGCACCAAGCAAACAACAUGAUCUAAUUUGUGGCAUUACAAGAAAAGAUCUCUUCACAAGUUGAAUAAACCCUCCUAUGUAGUAUAUAACUUAAUCACGUAUAAAAGAGCACAAUAAGUAUAAGGCAGGAUUAGUGACCGGAGUGAAAUCAUAACGAGCUAGUCAUAGCCAAUUAUAUACACACUGAGUAGGGAUAUUGCAAUUUGCAGUCAGUAUUAUCCACUUAAGAAAAAUGAGCACACUACAAUUAUUUGUAUCUUCGUGAAGGCUAAGGAAAAGAGAAAUCGCACAACCAAGACUUUGCAUAAUCAAGAAGCAACCAAUACAAGCCCCUUUAUCAAAAAAACGCAGCCUAGUGCAUACACGGAAUUCAGAAAAGGGUCGAACCACAAGGGUCUAUUGUACACAGCCUUACCAUACAUUUUUGCAAGAGGCUGUUUCAAAAAACAAGCCCCUUUAAUUUAUAUUGACUCAAACAACUGAGUCCCUAAAAUCAAGUUCCGACCAAAGAUGGAUAUAAAAAGGAAAAAGAAGGGAGACGACUAAGAGGACAGUAAAUUUUACUACCUAACUUCUAUACAACCACAAGUCCCUUUUUCUUGAUCACUGUGUCCAGACCAGCUUGCGCGAAACUUUUGUACUGCUGAAUAGCUUCUCACCAAAAUAUGUAAAAACAGUAUAUGUAUUUCACCUGUGGGCAUUCACAAAAGCCGGCAAGGAGUCUACGUCUCUCUUCUCUGACCAGUACUUAACCGGCUGUGAAGAAUACCUAGGGAAGAAGAAUAUAGUAGGGAAGCUGCAAUUCUUUUUGUGCAAAAGCUUUCUGGUCACCAUCUUCCCUGAACUUCCCUACCUUCACACCAGAACUUGCCAACUUCUCCGCCAAUUCAACAUAGGAUCCUUCCAUUGCCGGUACAAAAUAAGAAAAAAGAUCAUUAAAAUAAUCCCCAAAUACCAUCAGGAUGGGAAAUAAAGGGGAAUGCUGCAUUUUCAAAACAUGGCUACAUACGUUAAAAGUCACCAAGUUUUCAACAAAUAUUAAAUUCUAAAAUCGUAAUGCCAAAAGUACACUAUGUUCAAGUCCUAAGAAACAUAAAGGUUGAACAAAUCAAAUUCAAAUCUAGGAUCAGCUUCGGUGGAGAUAGAAAAAGUUGUUGAUGAGAAGAUAAAUUACCUGGCAAAAGCGGUGUGCAUAAAGAACAACAAGCCAACACUCACUUCGAUUUUCCAACUUUAAUAGAUUCUUAAUUCCAGGCCUACUCAAGCUUACAAUGUCCUUGGUGUCAAAAAUAUCAGCAACAGCAGCGCUACCAUUUGCAUUGACUGCGGUAUUUCCAUUACCGUUUGUGCUUUCAUCCUUGAUGUUGCCCUUAUGUAAGCCACACUCCUUGGCCUUGGAAUCCUCCCACCACCACCUUCCUUCUCGCUCAUGUUGGCCAGGUAGUACCGCCUGCUUGCAAGGUUCGGAUCCGACAGAAAUGUAACCUUGUGCAUGCAAUGAUUUCACUGCAACAUUCAUGGCUUGCAGGAAAUUCCAAAUAUCCUUGCCAUCCACAUUAGCAACCGGAUUCCACUUCACCAAACUAUCAGUUCUACCAUCCAACCUCUCGAACGAAGGGUCAACCUGAACAAUGGGAAUUUCAGAUCGAAGUAUCAGGGGAUUGAUCUUUACGUUUUCCCGUGAUCCAUGCACGUAAAUCUUUUGAGGGCGCUCCUCAAGGGCCUAGCUUUCCUUAUGCGGCAGCAUUCUAGGUGGCCAUCUUCAUUGUAAGAGAAGAGGCCCUUGUUCCUCACUAAAGCCUGACCUUCAACAGCAAUAGGGAACAUAUAUUCAAUACGAAUCCCAUAGUGCUUCUCCACUGCGUCAAAUAAUGGUAGGUUUCCAGAUUCAAUCUCCCAGUAUCAAGGCUGAAUACUCUAAAUGGAUGCCCAGUUAAUUGAGCAUACUCUAACAAAGCAACAUCUUCAGCACCAAUGCAAAAUAAGGAUAUAAUUUAGGAGCUGCAUCAGUGAGAUAACAUAUCUGGAAAGUCAUUUGAUAGCAAACUCUUAAAGGAAACAUACAUUUCUCAUAAAAAAGUAGAACACAUAUACCAGGCUAAUCAAUCAUAAAUGACCAAAAAAUGAAAUGUCAUCAUGGCCUUUAGAAUCAUCAUCUCAAUUCUCAUUGCAGCAAAUGGAACUUUGACUAGUGAUUGAUAUCAUAAAAGAUAGCAAAUUGCAAAGCAACAAAAGUUCCUUUAAGUAAGAAACCAAUCAAUGAAACUAGUUAGCAAGUUCAAAACAGACGACAUCAACGAAAUAUGAAUUGCAACGUCCUAUACUACACUGAUUAAAUCAUUAUACCCAUGAAAGGUUUUGGAUUAAAUCAAAUCACGUUCAUACAUUAUACUAAGAUUAUACAUAUACAUAAGUUUGCAGAUGAGAGAAUGGAGCAGUACGUACUUAACGAAAGUAGUGGAGAACUUGCUACUUCGGUAGCAAUAGCAUGUGGGUUACAAGUUUGUAAAAGGAGAAAGAUGCUCCAAUAUUUCUUUUACAAACAUCUAAAUCACGAAUGCAGAUAUGUGAAGGAGUGAAUCAUGCUUUUUUGCAAUCCAAUGAUUUUUGGAUAUUUUCUUCCAUUACUUGUCCUCGUGGCUUGAGACUUUAAGAAUACGCAGGACUCACUGACGAAGAUCUGCAACGGCAUCCGGAGUCCAUUUGGUGGUUGCUAAAGGAAAAAGAUAGGAGAAGAGAAUGAAGUUAAAGGAGAAAAUUAUAAUAUAACCCUAAAAAUGGUUGUCCUUUCUCAUUUACGGUUCAUGUUCCACGCCUCUGGGAAGGGAAGAUAAUUGUCUGGGAUACUCUCAGAAAUUCUCACAUAUACGAAUCUCUCCAUCCAAUGACGAUCUUUCGGCUCAUCUACGAGCGACAGAAGACCUGAUUUUCCUCGCUUGACGAGAUAUACAACCCCAUUUCGAAAAGUUCGAAGAGAAUAGAGAUGCAUCAAGUAGCUUAAAGUGAAAAUUGCAUUAGGACCAAAAGCUUUUACAGACAAGUAAAGGAUGCAGGCGAUGCUCCUACAAACCGCCGGACCUAUUUGAGCAAGGAAAAUGUUAUAGCAUUUCCACAAAUCUAAAAUUAUCGGAUCAAUCACCGGCUUAAAACGUAAGGUGAAAGGAUAAGUAUAUAUAUUGAAAAACCCAGAUUUGAAAGAGGUCAUAGCAUCAGGAAUAAGAAUUUCAAUAACCAAAUCCCAACGACAUUCCACCAGGAUAACUUCAAAAAUAGAAGAAUCAAUCACCGAACGAUAGUUUUCUACUGGUUCACCCCAUCGCUCAUAGUAGAUGGUUGUCGUACAGUCUAGUCACAAUCCCAAUUGUAACUCACUGGGAAAAUAAAACCUAGUUCCGAGCCAGCAUCAGCGACGGAUAAAGCAUGAGAACAACAGUAAGCAGAAGAAAUUGAAGAAGUCUUAGCAGCCAUCUAUGAGAAUGUUAAGAGACAAAUUUGUUGUUGAUAAAGCGAAGAAGAAAAAAACUGCAGUUUACUCCAUGACAGAAAAGUCACAAUAAAACAAGAUAGAAAAGAAGAGGAAACAGAUCUCAUAGGGAAUUUGACUCAUCAUUGCAACACUUCUAUAAUAUAUAAAUCGGUCCCAAAGACUUAUCGCACGCUAACACGUGUUUUGGAAAAGUCUUUCAUAUGUCAAGAUGCAUUUAAUGGAGAAGAUCUUCUUUCUUAUGGAAGAUACUCCUUCCAGCACGUUAUCGAAGGAUUGGCUUCCAUAAGAAAGAAGAUCUUCUCCAUUAAAUGUGUCCUGACAUAUGAAAGACGUUUUCAAAACACGUGUUACCGUGCGAUUGGUCUUUGGGGACAAUUUAUAUAUUAUUGAAGUGCCGCAUUGAUAAGUCAAAUUCCCUAUGAGAUUUGUUUCCUCUUAUUCUUUAUCGUGUUUUACUAUGACUUUCUAUCUUCGAGUAAACUACCGAUUAUUUCUUCUUCGCUCUAUCAACAACAAAUUUGUCUCUUAACAUUCCCAUAGAUGGCUAAGACUUCUUUGAUUUCUUCUGCCUACUGUCGUUUCAUGCUUUUUCUGUCGCUGAUGGCUCCGAACUGGAUUCUAUUCUUCCAGUGAGUUACAAGUGGUCUUGUGAUGUACCGAACGACAACAAUCUACUGUGAGCGAUAAGGGCGAACCAGUUGAAAAUUAUCGUUCGUUGAUAGAUUCUUCUAUUUUUGAAGUCGUCCGGGGGGACUGUCGCUAGAUAAGGUUACCGAAAUCCUUAUUCCUGAUGUUAUAACCUCCUUCAAAUCGGGGUUUUCCAAUGUAUAUACUUAUCCGUUCACCUUAGGUUUUAAGCCUGCGAUUGACCUAGUAAUUUUAGAUCUGUGCAAAUGCUAUAACAUUUGCCUUGCUUAAAUAGGUCCAGCGGUAUGGAGGACCGCCGCCUACCUCCGUUACUUGUCCGUAAAAGCUUUUGGUCAUAAUACAGCUUUCACUUUAAGCCACUUCAUGCAUCUCUAUUCUCCUCAAACUUUUCGAGGCGGGGUUGUAUAUCUCAUCAAGCAAGGAAAAUCAGGUAUUCUGUCAAGCAUGGAUGAGUCGGAAAAUCAUCGUUGGAUGGAGAGAUUCAUAUCAGUGAGGACUUCCGAGAUUGUCCUGGACAACCAUUUUCCCUUCCCAGAGGCGUGGAACAUGAAUCGUAAGUGAGAAAGGAGAACCAUUUUUAGGGUUGUGUUAUAAUUUUCUCUUUUUAACUCAAAUCUCUUCUCCUAUAUUUUUCCUUUAUCAGCCAGCAAAGGGAGGCUGAAUGUCAUAGCGCAUCUUCAUCAAUGAGUUCAGCACAUCCAUGAAGUCUCUUGCCAUGAGGACGAGUCAUGGAAAAAAUAUCGAAAAAUCGUUAAAUUGCGAAAAAUCAGUACGCUCCUUCAUAUAUCUGCCUACGAGAUUUUGAUGUUUGUAGAAGAAAUACUCGAGUACCAUUCUCCUUAUCUUAUACAAACGUGCAACCCCUAUGCUAUUGCAACCAAAGUUGCAAUUUCUCCAAUACUUUGGUUACGUACGUACUGCUCCAAUCUAUCAUCCCCAAACCUUAUGUAUUAUGUAUGAACAUGAUUUAUGCAAAAACUAUCAUGGGUAAAAUUUGUUAAAAAAAUAAAGAAUUAGGAUUAUUUUUGUUGCGGGCAUUGUUGGAUAGACAGCCAAUGACAAAUUAAGUAUGAACGCGAGCAAUCGUGCAAAAGAUACACUUAAUUAAGCAUUUAAAUAUAUCUACUUUCUUUAGAAGUAAAACCAAUUAAAGAUGAAAAAUCUAGAGUUAUUAGUGGUUGGGAUAAUUGACUAGUGUUAACUUAUUUUACGUUUACUUUUUAGUGUGAACUUGAAGCCUAUGUUAAAAGGUCUCCCUUCUAAGAAGGUGGUGGUGGCAUAUCCGGAUGUUGAUCCAAGGGCGUCUGGUGGCCGACUUGCCGAAGCUAAGAUGAACAAUAGAAAGCUGGUUUCUACUAACCGUGGUAAGUAUUCUUCAUCCUCACAACCCCCACUUUUAGAAAAGCAGAGGCGGUUUGUGAAGGCUAGUUCCCUUGCACCCGUUGUUAGCGAUGGGUACUACGUGCAUACUCAAGAUGAAGUUUCCCCGACUCUUAGCAACAGUGUUGCAUCCUCCAAUAGGACCGGUGCAUUAGUUUAACACCUAUGGUCCCACAAAGUGAGGUGGGGAGAGUACAAUAUAGCCAAACCUUACCCCUACUACAGAGGUAGAGAGCCUGUUACCAAUAGACCCUCAGCUCAAGGAGAAAUAGUCCAAAGCAGUCCAGAAAAAGAAGUAACGAAAGUGAAAGCAUAACAAAACAAAAUAUUACAAUAAUCAAAGUACAAGAAACGACAAAUAAUAACGACUAAACGAAGUAUAGAUACAUGCAUGUAAAGUCCUACGAAAUUCAGAAAAAAUAUUAAGUUUGAACCCAUUACUUUAACACUACAAUGAUUUCAAUGAUUUCUCACCAGGAUAAGUAAAAACAGUAUAUGUCUUUCACCUGAGGGCAUUCACAAAAGACAGCAAGGAGUCUACGUCCCUCUUCUCCGACCAGUACUUAAUCGACUGUGAAGAAUGCCUAGGGAAGAGUAUUGUAGGGAAGCUACCAAGCUGCAAUUCUUUUUGUGCAAAAGCUUUCUGGUCACCAUCUUCCCUACCUUCACACCAGAACUUGCCAACUUCUCCGCCAAUUCAACAUAGGAUCUUUCCAUUAAUUUAAUCCCCAAACACCAUCAGGCUGGGAAGUAAAGGGGAAUGCAGCAAUUUCAUAACAUGGCUAUAUACGUGAAAAGUCACCAAGUUUUCAACAACUAUCAAAUUCUAAAAACGUAAUGCCAAAAGUACACUAUGCUCAGUGCUAAGAACCUUAAAGGUUGAACUAAUCAAAUUCAAAUCUAGGAUCAGCCUCAGUGGAGAAAGAAAAAGUUGAUGAGAAAAUAAAUUACCUGGCAAAAGCGGUGUGCAUAAAGAACAAGAAGCCAAGGCUCACUUCGAUUCACCAACUUCAAAAGAUUCUUAAUUUCAGGCCUACUCAAGCUUACAAUGUGUCCUUGCUGGAAAGUUAUUUGAGAGACAUCUUAAAGGAAAUCAACAUUUCUGAUAAACAAGUAGAACAGCACAUGUACCAAUCCUAAAUGACCAAAAACCGAAAUAGCAUCAUGACCUCUAAAAUCCUCAACGCAUUAACUGGUGAUUCAUUUGGUAAAAUUAAUAAAUUGCAAUGCAACACGAGUUCUCUUUAGUGAGAAGCGUAUCAAUGACACUAGCUUGAAAUGUUCAUUUACAUUUAGGAGAUAUGAUACUCCGCCUCGAGUAGUUCCUAUGAAACAACAAUUAGGCCAGUUUUUAUUAAGUAAAAACCAACAUGAUAAAACUUGUUCAUAGUACAAUGCUUAAAUUCAGUCACUUCAAGCAUGCAUCAUAGCUUGUUUAAUGAGAAUGCGUAAAUUGCAAUGCAACAAGAGUAGUACAAUGCUUAAAUUGCAAUGCAACAAGAGUUCUCUUUAGUGAGAAACACAUCAAUGAAACUAGCGGGCAAUGUUCAUAUACAUUUAGGAGAUAUGAUAAUCCACCUCGAGAAGUUCCUAUGAAACAAAAAUUAGGCCACUUUUUAUUAAGUAAAAAACAACAUGAUAAAACUUAUUCGUGGUACAAUGCUUGAAUUCAGUCACUUCAAGCGUGAGACACACACAACAAAAAUGAUAAAAUUCACUGAUCUUAAUCACAUUUACGGAGAAUCUUAGUAGCCCAGGUGGUUGACUACCUACCUGAACUUUACCAUAUUGCUGGUGAGGGUUCGGUUCCCCACCUUGUAAUCCCCUCCCCCGUUUUUGCUUUCCCUAACCCCAUUUUUAAAAACAAGAUCAUACUUUUAAGUGCAAAGAUUGAAACUUUGAGAACAAAAACCAAAAAAAAUGGAAAAAAAAAAGAAUAUAAAAUAGUACAAGCAUCUUCAGCAUAACAAAUUAACUCAAUAAAUUAAGUAACAGCCCAGAGCACAAAGUUCCGGCUAUGUGUGGGGUCUGAGGCAGGGCCAGACCACAUGUGUAUAUGGUACGCAGUCUUACCCUGCAUUUCCACAAAAACGUGACCUCCUUAUCGCAUGGUAGCAACUUUACCAUUUAUGCCAUGGCCGGCUCUACAUCACUAUAAAUACAGAAUCAGGGGCAGACAGAUGCACUAAGUCCCAGUUAUGUGCGGGGUCCAAGGAUGAUCUGAACCACAAGAGUCUAUUGUACCAUGCGGGGUCCAAGGAUGAUCUGAACCACAAGAGUCUAUUGUACCAACCUUACCUGCAUUUCUGCAACAGGCUGUUUUAACAACUUCAUUUCCAUUACAAAAUAAGCAGUAAAUCACACAAAUUUAGACAACUAAAAUCUACUCCCUCCGUUUCAAUUUAUUUGUCUUAUUUACCUUUUCAGUACACCAACAACAUUCUCAUUGAAAUUCUACAAGUGCAGGCAAUCUGCGGAGGGUAGAGCGUACGCAAAUCGUACCGUCAGCGAAAAGAAUGUAUGUUUCUUCUAUUUUAUAACUCCUUAAUUUCACUAUGACAUUCCACCUGAUGUUUAAAGCUACAAUUUUAGGUAUAAGGAUUUAUUCUGCAAAUCUACCUAUCUACCUGAUAUGUUUAAAGCAACAUUUUUAGGUUUAAGGAUUUAUUCUACGUAUUUUUAAUUUAAGACGACAUGAUUCAAAAGUCAAUCUUUACUUUAUUAAACUUCUUGCAAAUCCACCUGAUAUGUUUAAAGCAACAUUUUUAGGUUUAAAGAUUUAUUCUACGUAUCUUUAAUUUAAGACGACAAGAUUCAAAAGUCAAUCUUUACUUUGUUAAACUUGGUGCAAAUCAAAAUCAAACAAACAAAUUGAAACAGAUUGAGUAAUUAACUCACCAUUGGUUGAAAAUACCCAUUUGUGACACUGUAAAUAAGAAAAAAAAAAAUGAGACCAAAAAAAAUGAUAAAAUUCAUGAAAAAACUUAGUAAUUCAAUUGAUUGACUACCUGAAUUUUACCUUGUUGUUGGUGAAUUUUUGAUUCUCCACCUUAUAAUCUCCUACCCUUUUCCUCUUUCCCCCUUUCCCUAACCCCCAAAAAAAAAAAAAAAAAAAAAACAUACUUUUAAGUGCAAAGAUUGAAACUUUAAGAACAAAAACAAAUAAAAUGGGGGAAACAAACAGAAUAUAAAAUUCUCUAAUCUUUAUCACAUUUACAUUUUUUAAAGUGUAGAAAUUGAAAAUUUGAGAACCAAAACAAAAAAGGGAAAAAUGAUAUUAAGAUGUUAAAUUCCCUUAUUUUCCAUUUUAAUUGAUCCUCUUACUAAAAACAUUUUAGUUAAUCACUUACUAAAUUAAAAUUGAAUUAAUUAAUUUUUUCUCCAUUUUAGUUUUACAAUUAAUAAUAUACAUUAAAUAUGAGCAAUUACAAUUCAAUGUUCAUUUUUAUGCCCAAUUAAUGUCAUUAAUAUAGAUAAAACAUAAAAUAGUGAAGUUCAUCAUUCAAUUUAUGAUUUCUUAUUACCGUGCAAAAUAAAAUGUGAGAGAAAAAUGAAAGGGCAUUAAAACGUAUAACACAAAUUAUAUAACAUGCAUGAUUUUUGACUCAAUGAUAUCGUAGUCUAAGAGACAAAUUAUAAGGUUUGUUGAACCAGAGAGAAUAAUACGUUGCACGAGUUUAAAUCGUGACAAACAUGAUAUUAAAAAGCCAAACUCUCUUUUGAGAUUUAUUCUAUAAAAAUAUAUGUUUUACAACAUUAAAAAAUAAAACAUAAAAUUUAAUGUAUUUUUGUUUGUUUGUAAUAUUUCAAUACUAUUUAAUAUUAAAUAUCAUUGUAGAUGUAUAAAAUGUCAAUUGAUAUAUUGUACUAGUAAAAAACAUGGUCCACUGACCCUAUGCUGAAUAUAUAGCUAGCUAAUAACAUGAUGGCUUUGCAAUACUAGUGUCUAAAACUACAUAUAAUACUUUACUAUAAAAAAAAUAUUUAACUAUUAAUAUGUGUGCUAUAAUUCAAAAUACAUGUACACUCAAUUUAUUUGUCUGGUUGACUUUAACUGAACACAUACUUUAAAAAUUCAUAAAUGAUAAAAUAAUAUUACUAUAUUAUUCUUUAAAUAUAGUAAAAAAAACCACUCCCUCCGUUUAAAAAAGAAUUAUUUACUUUCCUUUUUAGUCUGUUUAAAAAAUGUGAAAAGAAUUAUCUACUUUCCUUUUUAGAACAAAAACAGUGACCUAUUUUCUUUUUUGGCAAUACUUUAAUUUCAACUUUUCACAUGACAUCUUUAGAACCACAAGAUUAAAGAACAUUUUGGUACAUUUGACACAAUUUUAAUUUAAGGCCACAAGAUUCAAAAGUCUUUUUUAUUUUUUUAAAUUUUGUGUCAAGUCAAAAUAAAUUAUUAUUUUUUUAAACGGAGGGAGUACAAUUUUAGCACGUUGAUGAUUCAAUGGAUGUCUCCAAGGAUGAUUGGACGGUGAUCGUUAGUUCAAGACUUCAUUUUUGGCAACGAAAUUGAAAAUGUAAUGAUUGGACGGUGCUUUAGAUUCAGGUAAUUAGUUUUUGAUGGCUAUUAUGAUGAAAUGAUACUCGCCUUCAGAUAAUAGGCAAUUGGGCUUUAAACGAAAUAGAGCCCAUGUGGAAUUGGGCUUUAAACGAAUUAGAGCCCAUAGUUGAGGACUCAUUUUCCUCAUAAUCCAAAAUCCCUAUUCUCAAACAUUCUUCCUUAAACUUGGAAUCAAUUUUUGAAGCUAACAAUUUUAAACUGGUAAUUCUCUCUCUUUCUUUUUUUAUUAAUAAUUUUAUUUGGCCUAAAAUUCAUUUGAUUCAAAUGAAAAAAAAUAAUUAAAGAUUGAAUUUUUAUGAACAUAUUUGGAUGAAAAAGUAGUUUUAUCUUUCAAUUUUUUUAAAUAUUCCAUUUGAAAAAUUAAGGAAGAGAUUAAAGAAUUUAUACUCUUAGCUAAGAAUUAGGUUUCUGUGUUUGUAAGUUCUUUUUUGAGAUAAAGCAUCCAAAUAUACCCCCUCGAAUUAGUGUCAAAGUUGUUCCAACACACUCCAAAUUCACGAGACACUCCAAUUUUAGUAUAUUUUGUCGUCCUUUUGUGCUGACAUGACAGUUUUAUUGAAAAAUGGGUACACAUUAAAUGUGUCAUGUCAGAAAAUAAAAGCUGAUGAAAGAUGUCACAUCAACACAAAAGAGUGACAAAAAUAUGCUAAAAUUGAGUUAAGGAGUUUAAUAGGACCCUCGUGUAGUUGGAGUGUGUCGUAGCAAAUUUGAUUAUAGUUCAGGGGCAUAUUAGAUGCUAACUGCAGUGUCUAGGCCAGUUUGGAGUGUGUCGUAGUAAAUUUGAUCAUAGUUCGGGGGCGUACUAGAUCCUAACUGUGGUGUCUAGGCCAGUUUUUGUCACCUUCCACACGUGGAAAGAGAAGCUUAUUUUCCAUAUAUAGUUACUAUCUUCUUUAUGGUAUAAUGAUUUAUAUAGUAAUUAAUUGGGUGCACACAAGCCGGCUCAGACGUCAGUGUUUUAUAAAAAAAUAUAUUAAAAGAAUAAUUUAAAAUUCAUUUACCAAGUUAUAUAGCUGGGAUUCAAUUUUUCACCACACAGUGAAUGAUGGAACUUAAAAGGCGUAAAUAUUUAUCUGCAUUGAGUGUUUAAUUACAUCAAGUUAUAUAAAUAUUUCUAUUUUCUUUGAUCCAUAUUGUUUAAGUUAUCCAUUUUUCAGGUGAAAGUUCUUUGGUUUUUGCUCAAUGUGAACUUAAAUCUGAUUUUCAUAUGCUUAUUUGCCUG